rnacentral:rRNA from 1 species
ACGUGUGACAAAAUCAUCGUGAAUGUGUCCCAUCUCCUCAGAGUUGGGAAGCUAAUCAGAUCUGAGCCUGGUUAGUACUUGGGUGGAAGACUACCUAAUGCCAGGUGUUGUAGGCU